CUCGCUGACUGCCAAAUGUGGGAUCUACUUCAAUUGCAUCAAGGUAAUGGAGCUGUCAUCGUAACCAAUACAUUUGAACCUCCGUUUUAACUGAUCAUAUAAUCAUUUGUCAUUUGAAUUUGCAGGAGCAUUAGAGCGGAGGUAAGGCUGAAACUGAACAAAGAACUUAUUUGACGUUCUAAGCUGAGGAGCAUUGAAUUAAGGAUGAAUCAAUUUGACGUUCAACCUGGUAUUUCUCCUGGUGAUCCCUUGAGAAGGUACGCUGUCUUGCAACCUUUUUUUGCCUUCAAAUUUUCAUAACUUGAGCUAAUUAUGGUUAGUAUUUUUGAUUUUCCAUGAUAUCAUUUUUGUUCGUUGCUUUGUGUCUAAGCUGAGUAAGUGUAGGGUAUGUUCAUCUUUAUACUUCGGGAUAUUCAAGAUUUCACGGUUGUUCAGUGAAACAAGUAGGUAAAAUUGGCUGGUUUUUCUGAACUUCAAUGUGUAAAAACUAAAAGGCAUGGAUAGUUGCUGGUUAAUUGUAGUUUUUGAUGAUUUCUGCUUGUGUAUACUGGAGAAAAUUAUAAGUUGGUCAGUGCUAUUUAGUUAAACAUCAUGCAAUCUGUUAAUAUUUGUGUGAUGAAAACUUGAUGAUAUUAUGGUGUGUAUAGAAAAACAACUCAGAGAAGAGUUUUCCAUAGGUGGAGUGGUCCUUGUCUGGAGUUGAAACAACCUAGGGUUUUCGGGGUUUAGUUAAGAAUUCGGAAAUAAUCCUGGCUUCACUAACUAAUUCUUGUAUUAAAGUGCCUCAGAUAUUAUUUUUUACUGGUUUCUGAAUGUGGAAGAUAGCAGACUUUUGAAGCCAGUUGUAAGAGAUCCAUGUCGUUGAUGUCCCUGUUCCUUAGUAGAUCAAUUAUCAAUCUUGUAUAGCUAGAUGAAAUCUUGCAGUAGAUAUUGGUUUGGUAGUACUUAUUUAUACAAAGAUUUAAGGGCUUUCUGAUGUCAAUGCCAGGGUUACAGUUUCAAACUGGUUUAUUGUUGAAUCAGCAUAGCAUACCAUUAUUUCCAUGCAAAGUUUGGUUGCUAUCAGCAUCUGUACACCGUAUAUUUUGCUGAAGCAGUAUUUUCUAGCUGAGCAGUUCAAUACAAGUUCAAUUUGAGUUGUAUGCUCUUAUCCCCCACCCCUUUUCUCCCCAGAGAAGGAUUUAUUUGUGCUUUUGACAUCUUUGGCUUGCUUACAACGCUCUGUAUUUACAUGUCCUUAACCACCAUCCAACACAGUUUCUUGAGUACCCGAGUACAUCUAUUGGAGGCUGGGACUUGGGCGUUGUUUGUUCCUCUCCUUGCCCCUUCACCCCCUGCAUUGCUUUAUCUGAAAUUUGUGAUCAGGUUCUAUGUUCUGAGUGUGUAUGCUACAAUGAAUAGAUUUUCUAACCUCAAGAAAAUGAAUUAGGCCACUAAAUGCUUCAUCUUCCUCAGUAAAAAGGGGAAAAAAAAAUGUUUCAUCAGUUCCUGUAUCUUUAUUGUCCAAAUCAGUUUUGUUCUGUGAUAUUUAUGUUGUUUGUGUGCUUACAUGCUUAGGUACUUCGGUAUUUUUGGAUAGAUAGUCACUUUUUUAAACUUUUGGCUAUUUAUGACAAGGGAGCGGGGCUAGAUAUCUGGGAUCUGGUCCGCUGGUAUUACAUGAGAACUUUAAUAAAUCUGCAUGUGCAUUGAGUAACGUCAUGGAAUAUCGCUUACAAUAAAGUCUUUCCUUGGGUCUUAUAAUUAGUCGAUCACAUUACUGAAAACUUGAAGGAUUAAGGAGAUGUUGAAGUAUGUUUCUGUUCCUCUAUGUUCGAUUCUUUUUGAGUAAGCUAUCAUCUGUAAUUUUCAGCCGAUUAUUCUUGAUUCUACCUGCUAUAUCUGUGCAUUACAUAGCUUUCUGAUACUUUGGCCUGUUUCGUACUUAUAAGUGUGAUAUCUAAUUGCUGCAAUUUUGUAGAGAAUAAGUUAUUUAUAGUACGUAUAGUAGAUGGUUGGGUAGUGACCUAUAGGGUUAUUUGCUGCCAAAUCAGUGGUUGGCAUGGCUAAGCCUUUUGAUAGAGUUGAAGACCUUUUAACAGGGAUUAUAACUUCUUCAAAGAUUUGGAUAAUGUAUACUUAGAUUUAGUGCAACAAGAGAACAAAAAUUAAAUCUACCUCUGUUGGUUACCAUUGGAUUGUUUAGGUCUCUGUGUAGAGCUUCUAAUGCUCUAUUCUUCAUGGACCUUCCACCUCCGACUUUUCUCCCAAGGUUUCCCCUUCUGCCUUCUCAACUUUUUCUUGCUUAAACCGUCUUUUUCUGUCAAAUACUGAAUCUAUGCAUUAAGUUUUAACAUUUAUAAUGUUUCUAUAAUCCCAUCGGUAUAUCCAUAUUUUUGUUUUCCUUCGUUUUUGUUGGCAAGUUGGAAUCUAUUAACUUCCAAGCAUAUUAUUUCUUUUUUUUUUUUAAAAAAAAAAAGCUAAGAUGUUUAUGCUUGGCUCCUCAAUAUAAGUAACUGGGUAUUUCAAUAAGUGGACUUUAUUGUGAAUUCUAUAUUUAAGCUUAUUUUAUGUAUUUAAUUAUUUCAUAUUUUUACUCGCUUGUUCCGUCUACUGGUGGUACCUCUGUUUGCUUUAAUACUUGAUAUGAUUUUAAUAUGUUUAAGUGUAUAACUCCUUUUCUUCUUAUAUACUUUCCUUUUCCUCACAUUCUCAGCUUCUAAUAUCUUUGAUUCAUUGUAUAGUCGUACCUCGGUAUCUAUCCUGCUUUUUUUUGCUUGAUUUUUGAUAGUGAAUGAAGCAAAAUAUGCAAAAACUUUUAAGGGUGUUGCUAUGUUAACCUUGGUUCCUCUGCAUGGACUAAUUUUUUAAGAUAUGCUGUAAGUUACUUAAAGUUACUCAACUUUUCUUAUUUUUUAUUAAUCAUAAAUGCAAACCUCUUCAUGAUGGAUCCCUUUUGAGGUUUUAAUUUUAGCCAACCUUUAGGGUUUACGGUUAGUGUUAUAGAUUGUUAAGUUUUGUGAUUGCUUCUAUCUAUUAGAUCAUUAGGUUUUAUGCUUAUGUUAUGAAUCUGUGCUAGCUGGAUGCAGUUAUGAAAUAUUAAAUGACUGUUCUUUGUAUACGGCACUAAAUUUCGGUAUUGUUAACUUUGUUUUUGCGAAAGUGUUUGUCUACUUGGGUUUCAAUUUAAAUGUAAGCUGAUGAAAAUGUUGUAUUUCUUCAGCAUUUGAAUUUUCAAUGAAUGAUAUGUGGAUGAAUAUGAUAGGUACUUUAGGUAGUUACAAGCUAAUUGUUAUUAAUUUCAAAUUAAAUUCAUUUAGAAGUCUAAUUCAUUGAAUGCCAAAGCCUACUGAUUUGAAGGUUUAUCUUUAGAUUCAGAUGGUAAUGCAUAUUAUCAAUAAGAUUGCUUCAUCUACACUGCCUUGGUAAAUGUGGUGGGAGGCGACAGGAGAUGUUAUUAAAGCAUCUGGGAGCAAUGGAUUAUUAGGAUGAGGCUGAAAAAGAACCUAUAUGUCAUUCUAAGCUGUCUUUGUUUUCUCUUGCUGUUCACUGGACAAGGUGAUCAGGAGUUUGAUGUGCCUGCUGCAUCACUAUGGAACAUUUUAAUUGGGGCAGUGGCUUAAGAUUGGGAUCAGGAGUUGUUUGGCAUUGUAAGAUUCAUGUGAUUCAGGUCUGUUGUUUUACGUUUCCUGACUUGCACCUUUUGUGGACUCAGGAAGCUCAGGGGCGGUUGCUUAUGAUUGAGUUCCGGUGCCAACACUCGCAAAGGAGAAAGACUCUUCAUGUUUCAAUUUGCAACUAAUCCUUUUUCAAGUUUCAGUCUAUGAAGUAUGAACCAGAAUUUAUUGAAUAUUCUGUAAUUCAAUAUUUCAUGUCAAAUCCAGAGCCUUCUUUUUUUUAUUAUAGUAUUAUUAUUUUUUUCCAAGGUAAGGUAUAGGGGGGAAAUGAGGCUCGAAGUUUCGAACCCCCGUCACAUGGGGGCCAUAGUGCCAUACCAGAGCCUUCAUGUACUAGUGGAAGUUGUACAAUGUUAUUUUAUUUGAUGAAGUGAAAUAUGAGUUCAGUUUGACAACGUAGUUCCUUAUUUUGUAGUUUCAAAUUUCCAAGUUUUGUUAAAUCUGCAAUUUUUCCUGUAUAUCAGUACUGCCCAAUUGCCAAUUCCAAGCA